GACGAACGCUGGCGGCGUGCCUAACACAUGCAAGUCGAGCGGGGAACAUUGAAAGCUUGCUUUUGGUGUUUCUAGCGGCGGACGGGUGAGUAACGCGUGAGCAAUCUGUCUCAGACAGGGGGAUAACGCAGCGAAAGUUGCACUAAUACCGCAUAAGACCACAGAGCCACAUGGCAUAGGGGUCAAAGGAGCAAUCCGGUCUGAGGUGAGCUCGCGUCCCAUUAGGUAGUUGGUGAGGUAACGGCCCACCAAGCCUGCGAUGGGUAGCCGACCUGAGAGGGUGAUCGGCCACACUGGAACUGAGACACGGUCCAGACUCCUACGGGAGGCAGCAGUGGGGAAUAUUGGGCAAUGGGGGAAACCCUGACCCAGCAACGCCGCGUGAGGGAGGAAGGUUUUCGGAUUGUAAACCUCUGUC
rnacentral:rRNA from 1 species